UACGUAGGGACCAAGCGUUGUUCGGAUUUACUGGGCGUAAAGGGCGCGUAGGCGGCAAUUCAAGUCAUCUGUGAAAUCUCCGGGCUUAACUCGGAACGGUCAGGUGAUACUGCUUUGCUAGAGUGCGGAAGGGGCAAUCGGAAUUCUUGGUGUAGCGGUGAAAUGCGUAGAUAUCAAGAGGAACACCUGAGGUGAAGACGGGUUGCUGGGCCGACACUGACGCUGACAGCGCGAAAGCCAGGGAAGCAAACGGG
rnacentral:rRNA from 1 species